rnacentral:rRNA from 1 species
UAAGGAAUAUUGGUCAAUGGACGCAAGUCUGAACCAGCCAUGCCGCGUGAAGGAUGAAGGUCCUCUGGAUUGUAAACUUCUUUUAUCUGGGACGAAAACGGGAUUUUUAUCUCAAUUGACGGUACCAGAGGAAUAAGCACCGGCUAACUCCGUGCCAGCAGCCGCGGUAAUACGGAGGGUGCGAGCGUUAUCCGGAUUUACUGGGUUUAAAGGGUGUGUAGGUGGGCUUAUAAGUCAGUGGUGAAAUCUCCGAGCUUAACUUGGAAACUGCCGUUGAUACUAUAGCUCUUGAAUUAUCUGGAGGUAAGCGGAAUAUGUCAUGUAGCGGUGAAAUGCUUAGAUAUGACAUAGAACACCAAUUGCGAAGGCAGCUUACUACAUAUAAAUUGACGCUGAGGCACGAAAGCGUGGGGAUCAAACA